GUGUUGGCUUUGGCAGCACACACACUAAAAUUGGAAUGAUUGCAGGGAUGAUUAGCAUGGCCCCUAUGCAAGGAUGACACCCAAAUCCUGAAGCAUUUCAUAUCUUA